CCUACGGGAGACAGCAGUGGGGAAUAUUGAACAAUGGGGGAAACUCUGAUGCAGCGACGCCGCGUGAGUGAAGAAGUAUGUCGGUAUGUAAAGCUUUAUCAGUAGGGAAGUAAAUGACGGCACCUGAUUAAGAAGAUCCGUCUAACUACGUGCCAGCAGCCGCGGCAAUACGUCGGAGGCAAGCAUGAUCCGGAUUUACCGGGAGAAAAGGGGGCGUAGAUGGCAGCACACGUCUGGAGUGAAAUGCCGGGGCUUAACCGCGAAACUGCAGUGGAAACUGUGCAGCUAGAGGGAAGGAGAGGUGAGUGGAAGUCCUAGUGUAGCGGUGAAAUGCGUAGAUAUUAGGAGGAACACCAAUGGCGAAGGCGGCUUACUGGACUAUAACUGACGUUGAGGCUCGAAAGCGUGGGGAGCAAACAGGAUUAGAUACCCGGGUAGUC
rnacentral:rRNA from 1 species